rnacentral:rRNA from 1 species
GGCGAACGGGUGAGUAACACGUGGGUGACCUGCCCCCAACUCUGGGAUAAGCCCGGGAAACUGGGUCUAAUACCGGAUAUGACCUCUCAUCGCAUGGUGGGUGGUGGAAAGUUUUUCGGUUGGGGAUGGGCCCGCGGCCUAUCAGCUUGUUGGUGGGGUGAUGGCCUACCAAGGCGACGACGGGUAGCCGGCCUGAGAGGGCGACCGGCCACACUGGGACUGAGACACGGCCCAGACUCCUACGGGAGGCAGCAGUGGGGAAUAUUGCGCAAUGGGCGAAAGCCUGACGCAGCGACGCCGCGUGGGGGAUGACGGCCUUCGGGUUGUAAACCUCUUUCGCCAGGGACGAAGCGCAAGUGACGGUACCUGGAUAAGAAGCACCGGCCAACUACGUGCCAGCAGCCGCGGUAAUACGUAGGGUGCGAGCGUUGUCCGGAAUUAUUGGGCGUAAAGAGCUCGUAGGCGGUCUGUCGCGUCGGUCGUGAAAACUUGGGGCUUAACCCUGAGCUUGCGGUCGAUACGGGCAUGACUGGAGUUCGGCAGGGGAGACUGGAAUUCCUGGUGUAGCGGUGAAAUGCGCAGAUAUCAGGAGGAACACCGGUGGCGAAGGCGGGUCUCUGGGCCGAUACUGACGCUGAGGA